rnacentral:rRNA from 1 species
AUGAACGCUAGCUACAGGCUUAACACAUGCAAGUCGAGGGGCAGCAUUCCAGUUUGCUUGCAAACUGGAGAUGGCGACCGGCGCACGGGUGAGUAACACGUAUCCAACCUGCCGAUAACUCGGGGAUAGCCUUUCGAAAGAAAGAUUAAUACCCGAUGGCAUAAUAGAACCGCAUGGUUUGAUUAUUAAAGAAUUUCGGUUAUCGAUGGGGAUGCGUUCCAUUAGGCAGUUGGUGGGGUAACGGCCCACCAAACCUUCGAUGGAUAGGGGUUCUGAGAGGAAGGUCCCCCACAUUGGAACUGAGACACGGUCCAAACUCCUACGGGAGGCAGCAGUGAGGAAUAUUGGUCAAUGGACGAGAGUCUGAACCAGCCAAGUAGCGUGAAGGAUGACUGCCCUAUGGGUUGUAAACUUCUUUUAUAUGGGAAUAAAGUGGUCCACGUGUGGAUUUUUGUAUGUACCAUAUGAAUAAGGAUCGGCUAACUCCGUGCCAGCAGCCGCGGUAAUACGGAGGAUCCGAGCGUUAUCCGGAUUUAUUGGGUUUAAAGGGAGCGUAGGUGGACAGUUAAGUCAGUUGUGAAAGUUUGCGGCUCAACCGUAAAAUUGCAGUUGAUACUGGCUGUCUUGAGUACAGUAGAGGUGGGCGGAAUUCGUGGUGUAGCGGUGAAAUGCUUAGAUAUCACGAAGAACUCCGAUUGCGAAGGCAGCUCACUGGACUGCAACUGACACUGAUGCUCGAAAGUGUGGGUAUCAAACAGGAUUAGAUACCCUGGUAGUCCACACAGUAAACGAUGAAUACUCGCUGUUUGCGAUAUACAGUAAGCGGCCAAGCGAAAGCAUUAAGUAUUCCACCUGGGGAGUACGCCGGCAACGGUGAAACUCAAAGGAAUUGACGGGGGCCCGCACAAGCGGAGGAACAUGUGGUUUAAUUCGAUGAUACGCGAGGAACCUUACCCGGGUUUGAACGCAUUCGGACCGAGGUGGAAACACCUUUUCUAGCAAUAGCCGUUUGCGAGGUGCUGCAUGGUUGUCGUCAGCUCGUGCCGUGAGGUGUCGGCUUAAGUGCCAUAACGAGCGCAACCCUUAUCUUCAGUUACUAACAGGUCAUGCUGAGGACUCUGGAGAGACUGCCGUCGUAAGAUGUGAGGAAGGUGGGGAUGACGUCAAAUCAGCACGGCCCUUACGUCCGGGGCUACACACGUGUUACAAUGGGGGGUACAGAAGGCCGCUACCUGGUGACAGGAUGCUAAUCCCAAAAGCCUCUCUCAGUUCGGAUCGAAGUCUGCAACCCGACUUCGUGAAGCUGGAUUCGCUAGUAAUCGCGCAUCAGCCAUGGCGCGGUGAAUACGUUCCCGGGCCUUGUACACACCGCCCGUCAAGCCAUGAAAGCCGGGGGUACCUGAAGUACGUAACCGCAAGGAGCGUCCUAGGGUAAAACUGGUAAUUGGGGCU